CAAGUACUCCCUCUGUCCGAAAAUACUUGUCAUCAAAAUGGAUAAAAAAGAUGUAUCUAGAACUAAUAUACAUCUAGAUACAUCCCCUUUUAUUCAUUCUGAUGACAAGUAUUUCCGGACGGAGGGAGUACUAC
rnacentral:pre_miRNA from 1 species